CUGAGUAUCAGUUUCAGUUGUUACGUCCAUAGAGAUAUCUGUGCAAGCAGAGAGAUCAGGUGACUGACACAUAGACCUUUCUUCAGACAGCAGGGGAGAUGCAAGAAAAUUACUUAAGUGCAAGUGUGGUGAAGAGCAGAAGAAAAAGAUUUGCCCACCCACCUUCCACCUUGGGGGAAGGAAAAUGCUGUGUGCCUUAAAAUAUCUACUUGAGACUUGAACCUUGCACUUCCCAUCACUUCCUACUACCGCAUGAAGCGAAGGGUGCUUCCAUCGGGUCUGAAUAUGUGGGACUUCAAGUGCAUUGCAAAUGGACUGCACUGCACUGACCGAGGAGCUGUGGGAAGGUCCGAACAGAGCAGCUACACCAAGAGCAAGCUGGUCGCAUGCUGAG